rnacentral:rRNA from 1 species
GACGGGGGGGCAAGUGUUCUUCGGAAUGACUGGGCGUAAAGGGCACGUAGGCGGUGAAUCGGGUUGAAAGUGAAAGUCGCCAAAAAGUGGCGGAAUGCUCUCGAAACCAAUUCACUUGAGUGAGACAGAGGAGAGUGGAAUUUCGUGUGUAGGGGUGAAAUGCGCAGAUAUCAGGAGGAACACCGGUGGCGAAGGCGGUUCUCUGGGCCUGUACUGACGCUGGAGGAACGAAAGCGUGGGAGCGAACAGG